CCUACGGGUGGCAGCAGUGAGGAAUAUUGGUCAAUGGGCGUAAGCCUGAACCAGCCAAGUCGCGUGAGGGAUGAAGGUUCUAUGGAUCGUAAACCUCUUUUAUAAGGGAAUAAAGUGUGGGAAGCGUACUAUUUUGUAUGUACCUUAUGAAUAAGGAUCGGCUAACUCCGUGCCAGCAGCCGCGGUAAUACGGAGGAUCCGAGCGUUAUCCGGAUUUAGUGGGUUUAAAGGGUGCGUAGGCGGCCUUUUAAGUCAGCGGUGAAAGUCUGUGGCUCAACCAUAGAAUUGCCGUUGAAACUGGGGGGCUAGAGUGUGUGUGAGGCAGGCGGAAUGCGUGGUGUAGCGGUGAAAUGCUUAGAUAUCAGGCAGAACCCCGGUGGCGAAGGCAGCCUGCCAAGCCAUGACUGACGCUGAGGCACGAAAGCGUGGGGAGCAAACAGGAUUAGAUACCCCUGUAGUC
rnacentral:rRNA from 1 species